UACGAAGGGGGCUAGCGUUGCUCGGAAUGACUGGGCGUAAAGGGCGCGUAGGCGGUUUGUCCCGUCAGGUGUGAAAUUCCCGGGCUCAACCUGGGGGCUGCACUUGAUACGUAUGGACUGGAGUGGGGAAGAGGGUCGUGGAAUUCCCAGUGUAGAGGUGAAAUUCGUAGAUAUUGGGAAGAACACCGGUGGCGAAGGCGGCGACCUGGUCCUUGACUGACGCUGAGGCGCGAAAGCGUGGGGAGCAAACAGG
rnacentral:rRNA from 1 species